rnacentral:rRNA from 1 species
AGAGCGAACGCUGGCGGCAGGCUUAACACAUGCAAGUCGAGCGGGCGUAGCAAUACGUCAGCGGCAGACGGGUGAGUAACGCGUGGGAACAUACCUUUUGGUUCGGAACAACACAGGGAAACUUGUGCUAAUACCGGAUAAGCCCUUACGGGGAAAGAUUUAUCGCCGAAAGAUUGGCCCGCGUCUGAUUAGCUAGUUGGUGAGGUAACGGCUCACCAAGGCGACGAUCAGUAGCUGGUCUGAGAGGAUGAUCAGCCACAUUGGGACUGAGACACGGCCCAAACUCCUACGGGAGGCAGCAGUGGGGAAUAUUGGACAAUGGGCGCAAGCCUGAUCCAGCCAUGCCGCGUGAGUGAUGAAGGCCCUAGGGUUGUAAAGCUCUUUUGUGCGGGAAGAUAAUGACGGUACCGCAAGAAUAACGCCCCGGCUAACUUCGCGCCAGCAGCCGC